rnacentral:tmRNA from 1 species
GGGGAUGACUGGAAUUGACAUCAAGUCUAAUAUUUUGAUAAGCAUGUCGAGAUUUGUGUUUUAACUCGAAAAAUUAAAACUCAUUUUUUUAAACGGCGAACAUAAUUACGCUUACGCUUAAUUAGUCAAGGAUUAAUUAACGUAUGUCUCUUUAUAGGAUUGUUUGACUCCUAUAUUAAUGAGGCAUCGAAAAGUCAGACUAGCUUUAAAUACUCCUAAUAUUUAAAGUGAAUUUUUUUAGGAUAAGGUUAAUAUUGGGCGAACUAUUCCUGUGUUAGCUCUAAAACUAAAUAGUUCUAAACAUGUAGAAAUUCAUUAUAUUCCUUGUUUGGACCAGGGUUCGAAUCCCUGCAUCUCCACCA